AGGACGUCAGGAACGCCCGACGUAACGUACGUCGAAUUCCAGCGUGGAACGCAAAGAACGCAGUGACGUCACGGUUGUUUAUGCACGUUGCUGGGUGGAGGAGCGGCGGAGUGGAUGUCGGUGCUGGCUGGAGUCGCCCUUCGGGGCCCCGCCGGUCUUCUCCUGGACUGAUAACGAGCUCGACCAGCGGGAUGAAGACAUUGUUUCAAGAGAUCAAAGCUUCCAUUAAGAACAACUCGGACCAGGAUCGAUCUUUCUGGAGGCCAGUACUGCCCUGGGGAGGGGUCUUCACCAUUAAAGCCGGCAGGAAAGCGGUGUCUUGUAUGCCAUUGUACGUGGAGAUAACGCUGAAGAACACCUGCACUAUCGAUGGCUUCUUAAUGCUGCUGUAUGUCAUCCUGCGCGAGAAUAAUUCCUUCCCCCGGGAGCUGUCGGUCUACUUGGGCCGGGAGUUUGUGGAUUGCUUCCUUCACCUGAUGGACACCUACAGCUUCACCUCGGUAAAGCUGCUGUGGAUAUGGGACAAGAUGGAGAAGCGGCAGUACAAGUCCGGGAUACACAAGGCCACUCUGGAGAUUGACUUGUUUGGUAACGAGCACGAGAAUUUCACUAGAAAUCUGGAGCAUCUCAUGGCCACCAUACAAGAGAGUUACUGCUCCAACUCCAGGUGCCCGCUCCGUGCCCGGGAGAGCCACAUGCAAACUAUUCUAAUCAACCCUCCCCAUGACAUACCGCAUGGAGAUCUCAUUCAGAUGGCGGUGGAUGAGCUGUUUUGCUCUCGGAUUGAAGUAUGUGAAGAGAUUGGGUGCGGCUGCCUGAGAGAAUUUUCCCAGCGGAUUUUCUGCCACGGAGCUCCUCCAUUUGUCAUCUUAAACAUGGAACAGUGGAAGUCAGAAGAUCUGGCUUAUGUGCCGUAUUAUCUGGACUUAUCCGACCAUAAGUAUCUUCUAGAAGGCGCCACUCUUUUCAACAAGGAAGAGCACCAUUACUCCGCAGCAUUCCAGAUCGAUGGGUAUUGGAUGCAUUACGACGGCCUCAGGAAUGUAAACUUAAUCCUCUUACACAAACCUCCGGAGCUGCUCCUCUUGUCAUCGCUGGUUUACAUACGUGCAGCCGAGAAAUGACCGGAAUUUCUUUUUUUUUUUUUUUACAGAAUUCUAUUUUUUUAAGGUGCAAUUUAGAAAAAUGGAAAUUUUAGAAAAAAAAAAGUUUACAUUUUUGUAAUUGAUAGAAACUUUAAUCAUGUUGGUGCUAAAAAUGUUUAAUAUUUCAGCUACGCUGUCUCUUCUACAAGGUAGAGUGGAGGUGAAGCUACACGCUGUGGAGACGGUAUUCUUUCUAUAGAGAUAUAUGGAGCAGGUAUACAGAGAAGUUUCUUACAGCGGUGACGCGCAGACCCCCUAGAAAUAUCUGCAGAAUGACAGGUAACUUGUGAUGUGCUGUAAAAUGUACAGGAGCACAAUGUGGCGGUAGCUGUGUGUAGUGCUAUGUAAUGCAAAUGGUUAAUAUCAAGUCGGAUAAUCUAGCCGGACAGUGUAAGGAUAAAGCAAUAUACUUGAUUUGUGCUAUAACGUUACACAAUCAUGAUGUACGUGUGGGGUCAGGUUCUUUCGGUUUCCUUUAAUGUCAUUUAUAGGUUAUUAUAGGUUAUUGUUUCAUAUAUGGAAUCAUGUCAUUAACUGUUUCACGGGGUAGGACCACCAUGAGAGGUGAUGGCAUAUCACUUGGAUAUAUCGUCACCUCAUGGACCUCUGCGUCCCCCACAGUCAACGUUUACCCUGCACAUCGGCGUACAGGGAGUGUCUGUGAAGGAGUCUUCUUUCUGAAGAUUUGUAGGGCCCGUUUAACCCUUAGGGCCAUACACUUUCAUACACUUGUGCAGCUCAGAGCUAUCACUUCCCACACAGGCCGAGCAUGCAUGUGUUUCCAACAGGGGGAGAGGGAAAUGAGCCAUUGCUCAUCACCCUUCAGAACAAAGUUCGGCCAUGUUGAAAUGUGAGCAUGUCCAAUCCUUUCGCCCCCUAAUCUGUGAUGAACACGGGCUUAGCAUUUCAUACAGAUUAGAGGGUCACCUGCUCCCGCCAAAGUCUGCAGAUUUUGCCAACCAAAGUAAUGUUUAUGGCCCGCUUAAAGGGGUUUUUCUCGGAUUAAAAUUUUGAUGACCUACACUCUGCAUAGCUCGUCAUUAUCAAGUCGGUGGGGGUCUGACACCCCGACGAUCGGCUGUGUGAAGAGGCUGCGGUGUUCGGGGUGAAUGUCACGUCCAUAGGCUUACAUAAGGAUAAAUCAUAAAUAUUUAAUUACAAAAAAAAAAAACUUUCAUUGUAAUCUGGGCAUAGACUGUCCAUUAGUAUUGGUGGUUAACAUGAAGCUGCAUUUCCAUUCCGUAAAUGCCAGCCGUGCGAUCAGCGGAUCAGCACGGGUCCGGUUUCUGACCUCCCCAGUGAUCAGCUGAAAACUCCAGACCAGCCAUACAUUUCCCUGUAGGUGAAACGGCAAUUCAAAAUUAUGUUUAAAGGGGUUGUGCAGUGCAAAGAUAUUGGUGCCCAAUCCUCAGGAUAGGUCAUCACUUCCAGAUCGGCGGGGUUCUGACUCCGGGCACCACCACCCGUAAUUAUACUGUGCCACCGCUGCAACUGAUCGGCAGGGGGGUCCUGGGAGUCAGACCCCCGCCACGCUGGUAUUGAUGACCUCUCUUGAGGAUAGGUCAUCAAUAUCUUUGCACUGCACAACCCUUUGGGCAUGAAGACCCUUUAAUAGGGCAUAUGGAAAGGGGGUUAUUCUGCUGGCACAACCCCUUGCCUUGCUGCUUAUGCUUCUGUCCUAGAAUAUAAUGGAGCGUGUUUGCACAUUUAUGGCUAACUUUUGGGCAGUCUGUUAUCUAACAUCCAGCCCAUCCAAGCCCAGCAGCCCAUACCUUUUUACCAUUGUAUGACAGUGACGUAUAUAUAAAUCGUGCCUUCCAUUUUUAUUUUUCCAUGGAUGUUUCCAGUAACCAGUGGGUUGUGCUUAUAGGGCAGUGGUGGCGAACCUAUGGCACGGGUACCAGAGGCAGCACUCAGAGCCCUCUCUGUAGGCACCCGCACCCUGGAAACAGUCUAAGUUGUACCACUAUGCCUUCGAAUUUUCCUGCCAUUUGUCAGCGCAGGGCGCGCUAUUAACGGCACAGGCAGCGCACUGAAUGUAGGCAGGUUGUUAUAGCCGUACAUGGAAGAUGCACUAUAUUGGACUGUAGCAUUCAGGUUAAACUGGUGUGUU